AUUGCCUCAGUAACGGCGAGUGAAGCGGCAACAGCUCAAAUUUGAAAUCUGGCCCCUGGGCCCGAGUUGUAAUUUGGAGAAGGUGCUUCGGGUGCGACGGCGUUCCAAGUCCCCUGGAACUGGGCGUCAUAGAGGGUGAGAGUCCCGUCCGGAUCGCGCGUCCAGCCCGUGUGAAGCCCUUUCGACGAGUCGAGUUGUUUGGGAAUGCAGCUCAAAAUGGGUGGUAAAUUUCAUCUAAGGCUAAAUAUCUGCCGGAGACCGAUAGCGCACAAGUAGAGUGAUCGAAAGAUGAAAAGCACUUUGAAAAGAGAGUGAAACAGUACGUGAAAUUGUUGAAAGGGAAGGGCUUGCAGCCAGACUCGCACGUGGGGGCUCCGCCGCUCUUCGGGGCGGUUUGCUCCCCCGCGAUCGGGCCAGCAUCGGUUCUGGCGGCCGGACAAAGGCCCUGGGAACGUAGCUCUCCUCGGAGAGUGUUAUAGCCCGGGGUGCAAUGCGGCCAGCCGGGACCGAGGACCGCGCUUCGGCUUGGAUGCUGGCGUAAUGGCUGCCACCGCCCGUCUUGAAACACGGACCGGUGAGUUUUUAUCCACGUUCAACGUCAACCUGCUUGUACUGACAGCCGUGCAGAGGAGUCGACCAAUUAUGCGAGUCUGUGGGUGUCAAACCCUCGGGCGUAAUGAAAGUGAACGCAGGUGGGAGCCUUCGGGCGCACCAUCGACCGAUCUUGAUGUCUUCGGAUGGAUUUGAGUACGAGCAAAGUUGGUCGGACCCGAAAGGCAAGUUUUGGCAACGGAAUACAGGCGAUCGUAUGCUAAUAAGCAGCAGAUGGUGAACUAUGCGCGGAUAGGUACGCUGAUCCCGACUCGGUCGCCCCUUUAACAUUCAACUAACUCCAAAACAGGGUGAAGCCAGAGGAAACUCUGGUGGAGGCUCGCAGCGGUUCUGACNUGCAAAUC
rnacentral:rRNA from 1 species